ensembl:snRNA U1 U1 spliceosomal RNA
CCACCUACCUGGCGGGACAGAUACCAUGAUCAGGAAGGUGGAUUUCCCAGGGCAAGGCUUACCUAUUGCAUUCAGAUAUGCUGACCCCUAUAACUGUCCCAAAGGUGGGAAACUUAACCGCAUAAUUUGGGGUGGUGAGGAGCUGCAUUUGUACUCUCCCCC